rnacentral:rRNA from 1 species
AGCGAACGCUGGCGGCAGGCCUAACACAUGCAAGUCGAGCGCCCCGCAAGGGGAGCGGCAGACGGGAGAGUAACACGUGGGAACGUACCCUUUGGUUCGGAACAACCCAGGGAAACUUGGGCUAAUACCGGAUAAGCCCUUACGGGGAAAGAUUCAUCGCCGAAGGAUCGGCCCGCGUCUGAUUAGCUAGUUGGUGGGGUAACGGCCCACCAAGGCGACGAUCAGUAGCUGGUCUGAGAGGAUGAUCAGCCUCACUGGGACUGAGACACGGCCCAGACUCCUACGGGAGGCAGCAGUGGGGAAUAUUGGACAAUGGGCGCAAGCCUGAUCCAGCCAUGCCGCGUGGGUGAUGAAGGCCCUAGGGUUGUAAAGCCCUUUCGGCGGGGAAGAUAAUGACGGUACCCGCAGAAGAAGCCCCGGCUAACUUCGUGCCAGCCGCCGCCGUAAGAC